CUUGCGGUUUAAUUGGAUUCAACGCCGGAAAUCUUACCGGGACCGACAGCGAUAUGAAGGCCAGGCUGAAGACUUUGCCGGAUUAGCUGAGAGGUGGUGCAUGGCCGUCGUCAGUUCGUACUGUGAAGCAUCCUGUUAAGUCAGGCAACGAGCGAGACCCACGCCCACAGUUGCCAGCGUACUCUCCGGAGUGACGGGUACACUGUGGGGACCGCCGCUGCUAAAGCGGAGGAAGGAAUGGGCAACGGUAGGUCAGUAUGCCCCGAAUAUCCCGGGCUACACGCGAGCUACAAUGGUUGGUACAAUGGGUAUCUACCCCGAAAGGGGAUGGAAAUCUCCUAAAGCCAAUCUUAGUCCGGAUUGAGGGCUGCAACUCGCCCUCAUGAAGCUGGAAUCCGUAGUAAUCGCGUUUCAACAGAACGCGGUGAAUACGUCCCUGCUCCUU
rnacentral:rRNA from 1 species